rnacentral:lncRNA from 1 species
AUCAAACACAACCCGGACAAAGAAACAAGAGUGAUCCAACAUACUCUUGACCCGCGAAUAAAAUUCCGGGAUUUUGGUACCUGCACACACAAAAUCCCAAGCAUAGAAUGGAGAUGGAGAAGGGAGGAAAGGAUUUUAUCCUCCCCGAGUUAUUGAACUUGGAAGAGUUUAAGGUUUCAAAACAUACCUUUCUAAAGGCUGCCGAGAGGAGAAAUAACGUUUCGCCUACUUAUACUUCGAAUUUGGGGCUGAAAAUUUGACAGGAGGAGCAGCUCUGGAUGGGGAAGCUUCUGUCAAAAUUUCAGGUUGAUCGGAGCAAGGGAAGGUGGUGAACCGGUGGUCGGUAGCGGCGGCGGUCUGGAAUUUUCCGGCGGCCAGUUCGGAGACUUUCCGGCCGGUUCUCAGGGUGAGGCCGGCGGCGUUGGAUCCGUGACAGAAAGAGCUUUAUGGGGAUAUAAAAUUCCGGCGGAGGGCAGUCGGAAUUUUGGUCGGAAAUCGGGAAAAACAAGGCUGCCCGAUUUUAGGGUUUUGGUUUUUAGGGUUUAGAAAAAAAAUGGUGGGCUAUUGGCUCUAGGGUUAGAACAAAGUGCAUGAUAACGUGAUGAAGAAUAAAGUGUAGAGACAAAGAGAUAGCAAGAGAGUCAUCUUAUUCAUUGAUAGGAGCCCUUUAUAUAGGGAAUUACACAAUACCAAUAUGGUAAGGAUAUGAAUACAUAGAUCUAGUCUAACUACAUAUCCUAUUGGCAUAAGGCCAAGGCACACAUAGAGAAUAUCCUAGAACAAUAACAUAUUUAUUUAUUUUUUAUUUUUUUGAAAGGGUUUGGAGCCCAGUCUAGCUGGGAGCUAUAGGCUCAGCCCCACGUCCAGUUUCAUUUUAAUAAGAUGUUUAUCUCUACUAUUAGAAAGUGAGGCACUCUUUUGGUGUCUUUGGUGAAACAUUUUUUCCAAUUGCCCAAAAAACUAAGGCAAUAGAAAAUUCUCAAAGAAAUAAAAAUAAGUUACUAUAGGCAUUACCGUAAAAUACCACUAAAAUUUUGAGGAAAAAAAAGACGUGGUUUGUUCCCACUUUUGGUAGAGCAGUUAUCUAAGAAAUAAGAUAAUCAGAUUCAUUCCAUUUUAAGUGGAGCAUGUUAAGUUAAACUUCUCUUAUUUUGUAAACUCACGUGCAGAUGAACGGUAAAAGACUAGUGGGUUAUAGAGAAAAAUAUACAUUUCAAAAUGAACAAACGUGGAAGGGAAAUAAUUUGGCAAAUGCAACACAAAGAGUUGAUAUAAAAUUCCUGAAAUAUUUUGGAAUACAAAGUCUAAAAAGAAAGAAAGUUUAGAAGUGCUUAUUGUAAUAAAUAGGUGUAUAAAAGUUGCAAAAAAGAAAAAAAGAAUGAUGUGAUUGCAAUUACAUUUUUCUCCCUGUACAGCAAGUAGAAGAAACUAGGUCCAUUAUGACUUAUGAAAAACACAAUUUCAAAAAAAAAAAAAAAAUUAUGACUUAUGAGGGUUAAGGAAGGUAUUUCCCUAUAAACUAAAUUUAAAUAGAUAAAUUCAGUUUUUAUUUUUAUUUUGAGAGAACAGAUAAAUUUAGGAGUAAAUGACACUUUAGUACUAAUUUAAGCUUCUUUUUGCCCAUUUAAAUGUUUUUAACAGAAAUGUGCCUACUUCAAUAUAAGGUGUGUGAAAUGUGCCUUAUUGGACAAAACUUUUCUAAUGGGCCCACUUUUAAUAGUUUUUCUGUCGAAAAUACCCUCAAUUUAUUUAUUUUUCUGUUC